AACGAACGCUGGCGGCAGGCCUAACACAUGCAAGUCGAACGAGAAACCAGGGCUUGCUCUGGCGGAAAGUGGCAGACGGGUGAGUAACGCGUGGGAAUUUACCCAGUGGUACGGAAUAACUCAGGGAAACUUGUGCUAAUACCGUAUACGCCCUUCGGGGGAAAGAUUUAUCGCCAUUGGAUGAGCCCGCGUUAGAUUAGUUUGUUGGUGGGGUAAUGGCCUACCAAGACUACGAUCUAUAGCUGGUCUGAGAGGAUGAUCAGCCACACUGGGACUGAGACACGGCCCAGACUCCUACGGGAGGCAGCAGUGGGGAAUAUUGCACAAUGGGCGCAAGCCUGAUGCAGCCAUGCCGCGUGAGUGAAGAAGGCCUUAGGGUUGUAAAACUCUUUUGGCAGGGACGAUAAUGACGGUACCCGCAGAAUAAGCCCCGGCUAACUUCGUG
rnacentral:rRNA from 1 species